rnacentral:rRNA from 1 species
GAUGAACGCUGGCGGCGUGCCUAAUACAUGCAAGUCGAGCGAACAGACGAGGAGCUUGCUCCUCUGACGUUAGCGGCGGACGGGUGAGUAACACGUGGAUAACCUACCUAUAAGACUGGGAUAACUUCGGGAAACCGGAGCUAAUACCGGAUAAUAUAUUGAACCGCAUGGUUCAAUAGUGAAAGACGGUUUUGCUGUCACUUAUAGAUGGAUCCGCGCCGCGUUAGCUAGUUGGUAAGGUAACGGCUUACCAAGGCGACGAUGCGUAGCCGACCUGAGAGGGGGGUCGGCAAAAUGGGAAGGGGAGCGCGGACCAGAGGAAGGCGGGAGGGAGCAGGAGCGAAUGGUCGUCAAAGGGCGAAAGCAGGACGGAGUAACGGGGAGGGAGAGAAGAAGGUCGGAGGAGCGUAAAAAUGGGUGAAGAGGGAAGAACAAAUGUGUAAGGAACCGUGCCGAGCGUGACGGGACCGAAUCAGAAAGCCACGGCUAGCUACGCG